AGGGAAUAUUGGGCAAUGGAAGAGAUUCUGACCCAGCCAUGCCGCGUGCAGGAAGAAGGCCUUCUGGGUUGUAAACUGCUUUUAUAUAGGAAAAAAACGCCCAUGCGUGGGUAACUGACGGUACUAUAUGAAUAAGCACCGGCUAACUCCGUGCCAGCAGCCGCGGUAAUACGGAGGGUGCAAGCGUUGUCCGGAUUUAUUGGGUUUAAAGGGUGCGUAGGCGGCCCGUUAAGUCAGCGGUGAAAUCCCACGGCUCAACCGUGGAACUGCCGUUGAUACUGGCGUGGCUUGAGUUCGGUCGAGGCGGGCGGAACUGGUGGUGUAGCGGUGAAAUGCAUAGAUACCACCAAGAACCCCGAUUGCGUAGGCAGCUCGCUGGGCCUGAACUGACGCUGAGGCACGAAAGCGUGGGGAGCGAA
rnacentral:rRNA from 1 species